UACGUAGGGGCUAGCGUUGUCCGGAUUUAUUGGGCGUAAAGAGCGUGUAGGCGGCCAGAUAGGUCUGCUGUGAAAACUAGAGGCUCAACCUCUAGACGUCGACCGAAACCAUCUGGCUAGAGUCCGGAAGAGGAGAGUGGAAUUCCUGGUGUAGCGGUGAAAUGCGCAGAUAUCAGGAAGAACACCCGUCGGCGGAAGGCGGACUCCGUCUGGGACGGUACUGACGCUGAGACGCGAAAGCGUGGGGAGCGAACAGG
rnacentral:rRNA from 1 species